GGUAGCUUCCUUCGCGUGUAGGUUAGUAAGACUAAUGCGUUUCGAAACUGUUUGGACUUGCUAAUCACGAUGACGAAGUCUGUUAUUUUCUUCUGCGCGUGAAGCGGGUCGAGAUUCGAGAUUCGAGGUGAUUCUCGGGUUCCCAGCUUUUGAUGACCGUUCUGAUUUUCUUUUGCGAAGUCGGAGAAAGAGAUGCGGUCUGAGUGAC